rnacentral:rRNA from 1 species
AGAGUUUGAUCCUGGCUCAGAUUGAACGCUGGCGGCAGGCCUAACACAUGCAAGUCGAGCGGAAACGAGUUAUCUGAACCUUCGGGGGACGAUAACGGCGUCGAGCGGCGGACGGGUGAGUAAUGCCUAGGAAAUUGCCCUGAUGUGGGGGAUAACCAUUGGAAACGAUGGCUAAUACCGCAUAAUGCCUACGGGCCAAAGAGGGGGACCUUCGGGCCUCUCGCGUCAGGAUAUGCCUAGGUGGGAUUAGCUAGUUGGUGAGGUAAUGGCUCACCAAGGCGACGAUCCCUAGCUGGUCUGAGAGGAUGAUCAGCCACACUGGAACUGAGACACGGUCCAGACUCCUACGGGAGGCAGCAGUGGGGAAUAUUGCACAAUGGGCGCAAGCCUGAUGCGGCCAUGCCGCGUGUGUGAAGAAGGCCUUCGGGUUGUAAAGCACUUUCAGUCGUGAGGAAGGUAGUGUAGUUAAUAGCUGCAUUAUUUGACGUUAGCGACAGAAGAAGCACCGGCUAACUCCGUGCCAGCAGCCGCGGUAAUACGGAGGGUGCGAGCGUUAAUCGGAAUUACUGGGCGUAAAGCGCAUGCAGGUGGUUUGUUAAGUCAGAUGUGAAAGCCCGGGGCUCAACCUCGGAAUAGCAUUUGAAACUGGCAGACUAGAGUACUGUAGAGGGGGGUAGAAUUUCAGGUGUAGCGGUGAAAUGCGUAGAGAUCUGAAGGAAUACCGGUGGCGAAGGCGGCCCCCUGGACAGAUACUGACACUCAGAUGCGAAAGCGUGGGGAGCAAACAGGAUUAGAUACCCUGGUAGUCCACGCCGUAAACGAUGUCUACUUGGAGGUUGUGGCCUUGAGCCGUGGCUUUCGGAGCUAACGCGUUAAGUAGACCGCCUGGGGAGUACGGUCGCAAGAUUAAAACUCAAAUGAAUUGACGGGGGCCCGCACAAGCGGUGGAGCAUGUGGUUUAAUUCGAUGCAACGCGAAGAACCUUACCUACUCUUGACAUCCAGAGAAUUUUCCAGAGAUGGAUUAGUGCCUUCGGGAACUCUGAGACAGGUGCUGCAUGGCUGUCGUCAGCUCGUGUUGUGAAAUGUUGGGUUAAGUCCCACAACGAGCGCAACCCUUAUCCUUGUUUGCCAGCGAGUAAUGUCGGGAACUCCAGGGAGACUGCCGGUGAUAAACCGGAGGAAGGUGGGGACGACGUCAAGUCAUCAUGGCCCUUACGAGUAGGGCUACACACGUGCUACAAUGGCGCAUACAGAGGGCAGCAAGCUAGCGAUAGUGAGCGAAUCCCAAAAAGUGCGUCGUAGUCCGGAUUGGAGUCUGCAACUCGACUCCAUGAAGUCGGAAUCGCUAGUAAUCGUGGAUCAGAAUGCCACGGUGAAUACGUUCCCGGGCCUUGUACACACCGCCCGUCACACCAUGGGAGUGGGCUGCAAAAGAAGUAGGUAGUUUAACCUUCGGGAGGACGCUUACCACUUUGUGGUUCAUGACUGGGGUGAAGUCGUAACAAGGUAGCCGUA